CCGCCCUGACCCCUACACCGCCCCAUAGACCCUUGUGAUCCCCUCCCGCCCCAUCCCCGCCAUGGUGUGCAGUGGGGAUGUGGCCAGCCGGAGGAGGUGGGGGGGGCGCACAGUCAGCAGGAUUGGGGGGGGGGGCACGUGGUCAGACGAGUUGCAAGGGGGGGGUACACGCGGUCAGCCGGAGGGGGGGGCGCGGUCAGCCGGAGGGGGGGGCGCGGUCAGCCGGAGGGGGCGUGGCCAGGCUGCCUUCGCUGUUCUCUGCGCAGGAGCUGCAGUGGGAAAGGGAAGGAAAGGGCCGUUAUUUGUGUCACAGUCCUGGGAAACAGCCCCAAAUCCCCCCGCUUCAACAUUAACC